CAGAACGCCUGAAUCAGGGUAAAAUGGAUCUGAAGAGCAACGUCCUUGACGUCCUCCUCGUCGGUAGCCAGGAGGCAAAGUACCACGUUAUCCGGAUCCCUGGGGAGCAAUGAACAAUGCACUCGUCAGCAUACAACUCGUCGUCUGGUGGAGACGCCAGAGCAGCUGGAAGUCCCAUGUGCCCUCCUCAGCUUUGAAUGAUGGUGGCCUGGGAGAUGAAAGGACGAGGCAGUUGUGCAAACCGUGGAUCGAUGACUCUUCGGUGCAUUCCACAAUUUGGCGGCAGCAGAUCAAUAACAUGCUGUCCUGUUUCAAUGAAACCCUCUGGUAUCUAGUGGGGCAACGGGUUUUUUUUCCAAGGAAGUGAAGAAGAGAUUUAGUUUUGUUUCUGCUGAAUGUGUCUUCACCUUCACCUAGGUAUUAUCUUUCCUCUGUUGUUGACGCACCAAAUGGAUCAAUUUG